CAGAGCUCUUCUCUAUUGUGUGAGUUAAACUCUCUCUCCUCUGAUCACAUCUACUGUAUAUAAACCAGCAGCAGAUCUCUCAGAUCCACAGAGGACACAUCUCUCUCUUCAGAUCUUCACAAGAUAUAAAUGAGAUGUAGACAAAAACACACAGAGAAAUCAGCUGGAGCAUCAGAAACCACCAGAAAACACCAGCACAGAGAGAGAAAUGGAGGACAGGAAUGAAACAGAAAUGACUGGAUCACAAGAGAAAAGCAGACAGAGACUUGUGAGAUGUGACAGUAUGGAGAUAUUAAAGCCAGUGUUCUCACGUGAUCCAGACGCACCUGUGAUGUUCAUUCAGAUGUUAUUCAGAAAACACAACAUCACAGAGACCAGACACCAGCAGAUGAA